AAAGUCGUAACAAGGUUUCCGUAGGUGAACCUGCGGAAGGAUCAUUAUCACGUAUCCACGUAUAAACCAUUGUGAACCGUUCUAUUACCUUUGUUGGUUGAUGAAUGAAGCUAGAGCGUUCUCUCCGGAGUCGCUUCAGUGGAGUUUAUUUUUACCGCAAAGUGUAUUAACUUUAUAUUAACCAUUAUAACCCAAUCUUUAUAACUUUUAUGAACUAAUUUUUAUUUUAUACUCUUCGGAGAUAAAAUUCAUUACGAAACAAAGAACAACUCUUAGCAACGGAUAUCUUGGUUCUC
rnacentral:misc_RNA from 1 species